AAACCAAUAAAAGAUCCUAUAUCCUCUCAAACCAUUAAUUUUAUCACAUUACAAAGAAAUUUAAGCACUACAUCAGAUAGCUGUGCUUGCUUUCUUCAUCUUCUUCAAAAGUUUGAGAAAUGAUUUUGUGGUGGCUGAACCAUUUGCAGAUCACUUGCUGUUUGACAUGUAUUAUCCUCCACAAGCAAUGACCUGAGUAUCCAUUAGAAAAUUUUUGUUGGUCAAAAGUUUGAAAAUUUAUGCUCUAAACUGUCAAGCAAAAGCAUAUGAAAUGUAUUCUUCAAGAAUCUCUAAGCCAUACAUCUUUGACUGUCUCAAAUUUCAAUUAGUAGCAAUUAAUUAUUUUCAAAGAUCUUACUCUCGAGGACGAGAUGCCCAGAGUGAGCUUAGUGCUCGUAACCGCCCAUAAUAUUCUCCGAUCACCAGAAAACACCGCGCAGCUUGUCUUACUGUCAAUAUCCGGCGAAGUUGGUGAAGGGUUUGUUGUCUCAAAUUAUCAGCCUGGCGAAUGAAUCCUUCAAGGUUGGCAAGCUUCCCCAAGGCCACUGCCAUCUGCUGCAUACCAUCAAUAACUGGACCACUGGCAAUGGUGUCAACUAGAGAUUGUUGGAGUUGCUCCAAGCCCUGGGAGAGAGCUUCUUCUGCCUGCUGUGAUGAUUGUUGGAGGCUGCAAAUUCCCAUUAUUUGCUGUUCUGUUAAUGGGUCUAACUGAGAUGUUAACAUCUUGAUGAGUUCUGAGGGCCUAAAACCACCCAUCCAGAGGAAGCAACGCUCCGCCGGAGUUGACCACAUUCCGGUAAUAAGGUGAAAAACGUCGGAUUUCGCAGCCACCCCCUUCAACCGGAAAACUUCAUCAUAAUGUGAAAUGUAUCUAUCUACUAUAACCCUGAGGUCACCAUCUGAUAAAUGUGCUUGCAAUCCUGUUCUGAGCUCUGACAUGUGCCUGUGAUCAUCCUCUAACCAUCUUGCAUACUCCAUAUCAAAUAUUGCAGCUCCAGAGCUUAUAUUGCCACCAGCACCACUACAGCCACCUAAGAACAACCCCUGCUGGCGAGCACUUUGGAGGUCUUGCUCUAAUUGGGUAAGCUUUAUUCUACUGGAUUCUAGCUGCUGCACAUAGGCCUUCUUCCUAAGGCGGCUCUUCCUUGCAGCUUCUCUGUUUUGAGCUAAACGUCUCAAUGUCUUUGCAUCAAGCUGUUUCUCUGAUGUUGAACCCUUCCUCUUUUCUUGGGAUGGUUUGGCAGGUGAUUGAUUUAAUUCUGAGGGUGCUCCUAUUCUUGAAGUAUAACUUGUCAUCUCCAUUUGUUGCUGGUGCUGUUGCAGCUGUAGAUGCUUAUGAUCAAAAGCCUGAUGAUGAUCCGAAGAAGAUGCCUUUUUACUGAUAGGAGAAUCCGGGUCCAGCUGGGCCUCAGCUUUGCUUGAAAGAGUGUUCACUGCUGAUCCUGAAUCAGUACUUUCCCCUCCCGACUUUGAACUUCCCUGG
rnacentral:misc_RNA from 1 species